rnacentral:lncRNA from 1 species
CCAAUUAUGGAUUUUUCCCUAUUUUUCUAAAUCAGGCUCAACUUCAAGGAAGAGAUCUCCCUGAGGAUGGAAAGCAAGCCACAGAGAGAGGGAGCUGUCAGGAAGCUCCCCGAUGACACACUUGCCCUUGGAAAGCAUCAUCACCAAAUCAGAAGAUGCAGGUCAAAUUCAUCUGUACUCGUCAGAAGAAGAUUUCUGUUGAAGCACUCCAUUUCAGGCAUAGAGAAAGCUCGUGGUACUGAACUGUAGGCUGCAGCGUUCACCUCCGGCCGUUUGGUUUAAAGCCCGAUCCAUCAGAGGGGCAGCAAUGGCAGAGCCCAUCAGCUUAAUAAAAGGCACAAGCAGGGAGGAAUCUGUGAGGAA